rnacentral:pre_miRNA from 11 species
CAAACAAAGAAUAUUCCAUGAGUUCUAUUGUCCUUCAUUCCACCGGAGUCUGUCUCAUAUCUAAUCAGAUUUCAGUGGAGUGAAGCACAAGAGACAUGGAGUUGAAUCCACUGAGACUU